CCUCCUUCUAUCGGCAUACAUGUGGUUGUUCAGUACACAUGUGUGUAAUGGGGAGGAGGUAAAGAAAAGCCAGUGCUAUGUCUAUGGUUCCAGCUUGUUUAUUGUCUGCUGGUUCUAUCCUCAAUCACUGGAGCAAGC
ensembl:snoRNA small nucleolar RNA SNORA57